rnacentral:rRNA from 1 species
UACGUAGGGACCGAGCGUUGUCCGGAUUCAUUGGGCGUAAAGAGCUCGUAGGCGGCUGCUCAAGUCGAAUGUGAAAACUCGAGGCUCAACCUCGAGCCUGCAUUCGAUACUGGGCGGCUAGAGUCUGGUAGGGGGAUCUGGAAUUCCUGGUGUAGCGGUGGAAUGCGUAGAGAUCGGGAAGAACAUCAGUGGCGAAGGCGGUCUGCUGGGCCGUUGCUGACGCUGAGGCGCGACAGCGUGGGGAGCAAACAGG